rnacentral:rRNA from 1 species
GAGUUUGAUCCUGGCUCAGAGUGAACGCUGGCGGCGUGCCUAAUACAUGCAAGUCGAACGAUGAAGCUUCUAGCUUGCUAGAAUGCUGAUUAGUGGCGCACGGGUGAGUAACGCAUAGGUCAUGUGCCUCUUAGUUUGGGAUAGCCAUUGGAAACGAUGAUUAAUACCAGAUACUCCCUACGGGGGAAAGAUUUAUCGCUAAGAGAUCAGCCUAUGUCCUAUCAGCUUGUUGGUAAGGUAAUGGCUUACCAAGGCUAUGACGGGUAUCCGGCCUGAGAGGGUGAACGGACACACUGGAACUGAGACACGGUCCAGACUCCUACGGGAGGCAGCAGUAGGGAAUAUUGCUCAAUGGGGGAAACCCUGAAGCAGCAACGCCGCGUGGAGGAUGAAGGUUUUAGGAUUGUAAACUCCUUUUGUUAGAGAAGAUAAUGACGGUAUCUAACGAAUAAGCACCGGCUAACUCCGUGCCAGCAGCCGCGGUAAUACGGAGGGUGCAAGCGUUACUCGGAAUCACUGGGCGUAAAGAGCGCGUAGGCGGGAUAGUCAGUCAGGUGUGAAAUCCUAUGGCUUAACCAUAGAACUGCAUUUGAAACUACUAUUCUAGAGUGUGGGAGAGGUAGGUGGAAUUCUUGGUGUAGGGGUAAAAUCCGUAGAGAUCAAGAGGAAUACUCAUUGCGAAGGCGACCUGCUGGAACAUUACUGACGCUGAUUGCGCGAAAGCGUGGGGAGCAAACAGGAUUAGAUACCCUGGUAGUCCACGCCCUAAACGAUGGAUGCUAGUUGUUGGAGGGCUUAGUCUCUCCAGUAAUGCAGCUAACGCAUUAAGCAUCCCGCCUGGGGAGUACGGUCGCAAGAUUAAAACUCAAAGGAAUAGACGGGGACCCGCACAAGCGGUGGAGCAUGUGGUUUAAUUCGAAGAUACACGAAGAACCUUACCUAGGCUUGACAUUGAGAGAAUCCGCUAGAAAUAGUGGAGUGUCUGGCUUGCUAGACCUUGAAAACAGGUGCUGCACGGCUGUCGUCAGCUCGUGUCGUGAGAUGUUGGGUUAAGUCCCGCAACGAGCGCAACCCCCUUUCUUAGUUGCUAACAGGUCAUGCUGAGAACUCUAAGGAUACUGCCUCCGUAAGGAGGAGGAAGGUGGGGACGACGUCAAGUCAUCAUGGCCCUUACGCCUAGGGCUACACACGUGCUACAAUGGGGUGCACAAAGAGAAGCAAUACUGCGAAGUGGAGCCAAUCUUCAAAACACCUCUCAGUUCGGAUUGUAGGCUGCAACUCGCCUGCAUGAAGCUGGAAUCGCUAGUAAUCGCAAAUCAGCCAUGUUGCGGUGAAUACGUUCCCGGGUCUUGUACUCACCGCCCGUCACACCAUGGGAGUUGUGUUUGCUUUAAGUCAGGAUGCUAAAUUAGCUACUGCCCACGGCACACACAGCGACUGGGGUGAAGUCGUAACAAGGUAACCGUAGGUGAACCUGCGGUUGGAUCACC